rnacentral:rRNA from 1 species
UACGGGGGGGGCAAGCGUUGUUCGGAAUUACUGGGCGUAAAGGGCUCGUAGGCGGCCUGUUAAGUCGAACGUGAAAUCCCCGGGCUCAACCCGGGAACUGCGUCCGAUACUGGCAGGCUUGAAUCCGGGAGAGGGAUGCGGAAUUCCUGGUGUAGCGGUGAAAUGCGUAGAUAUCAGGAGGAACACCGGUGGUGUAGACGGCUUUCUGGACCGUAACUGACGCUGAGACACGAAAGCGUGGGUAGCAAACAGG